rnacentral:rRNA from 1 species
AGUUUGAUCCUGGCUCAGGAUGAACGCUAGCGGGAGGCCUAACACAUGCAAGCCGAGCGGUAUUUGUCUUUCGGGACAGAGAGAGCGGCGUACGGGUGCGGAACACGUGUGCAACCUGCCUUUAUCAGGGGGAUAGCCUUUCGAAAGGAAGAUUAAUACCCCAUAAUAUAUCUGAUGGCAUCAUUAGAUAUUGAAAACUCCGGUGGAUAGAGAUGGGCACGCGCAAGAUUAGAUAGUUGGUGAGGUAACGGCUCACCAAGUCAGUGAUCUUUAGGGGGCCUGAGAGGGUGAUCCCCCACACUGGUACUGAGACACGGACCAGACUCCUACGGGAGGCAGCAGUGAGGAAUAUUGGACAAUGGGUGCGAGCCUGAUCCAGCCAUCCCGCGUGAAGGACGACGGUUCUAUGGAUUGUAAACUUCUUUUAUACUGGGAUAAACCUACCCUCGUGAGGGUAGCUGAAGGUACAGUAUGAAUAAGCACCGGCUAACUCCGUG